UACGUAGGGUGCGAGCGUUGUCCGGAAUUACUGGGCGUAAAGAGCUCGUAGGUGGUUUGUCGCGUUGUUCGUGAAAACUCACAGCUCAACUGUGGGCGUGCGGGCGAUACGGGCAGACUGGAGUACUGCAGGGGAGACUGGAAUUCCUGGUGUAGCGGUGGAAUGCGUAGAUAUCGAGAGGAACACCUGCGGCGAAGGCGGGUUGCUGGGCUGACACUGACGCUGAUGCGCGAAAGCCAGGGGAGCGAACGGG
rnacentral:rRNA from 1 species